UGCAAGUCGAGCGAGAAAGCCCUUCGGGGUGAGUAGAGCGGCGGACGGGUGAGUAACGCGUAGGAAUCUACCUAGUAGUGGGGGACAACAUGUGGAAACGCAUGCUAAUACCGCAUACGCCCUACGGGGGAAGGCAGGGGAUCUUCGGACCUUGCGCUAUUGGAUGAGCCUGCGUUGGAUUAGCUAGUUGGUGGGGUAAGGGCCUACCAAGGCGACGAUCCAUAGCUGGUCUGAGAGGAUGAUCAGCCACACUGGGACUGAGACACGGCCCAGACUCCUACGGGAGGCAGCAGUGGGGAAUAUUGCACAAUGGGCGCAAGCCUGAUGCAGCCAUGCCGCGUGUGUGAAGAAGGCCUUCGGGUUGUAAAGCACUUCCAAUAGGGAGGAAAGGGUGUAAGUUAAUACCUUGCAUCUGUGACGUUACCUAUAGAAGAAGGACCGGCUAACUCCGUGCCAGCAGCCGCGGUAAUACGGAGGGUCCGAGCGUUAAUCGGAAUUACUGGGCGUAAAGCGCGCGUAGGCGGUUUGAUAAGCGAGAUGUGAAAGCCCAGGGCUCAACCUUGGAACUGCAUUUCGAACUGUCAGACUAGAAUACAGCAGAGGAUAGUGGAAUUUCAGGUGUAGCGGUGAAAUGCGUAGAGAUCUGAAGGAACAUCAGUGGCGAAGGCGACUGUCUGGGCUGAUAUUGACGCUGAGGUGCGAAAGCGUGGGGAGCAAACGGGAUUAGAUACCCCGGUAGUCCACGCCGUAAACGAUGUCUACUAGUUGUUGGGGUCCUUGAGACCUUAGUGACGCAGCUAACGCAUUAAGUAGACCGCCUGGGGAGUACGGCCGCAAGGUUAAAACUCAAAUGAAAUUGACCGGGACCGCACAGCGUGGAGCAUGUGGAUUAAUCCGAGCAACGCGAGACUUACAGGUCUUGACAUCCAGAGGAUUCUGCAGAGAUGGCGGAGUGCUCGGGAUAUCCUGAAAACA
rnacentral:rRNA from 1 species